CGGGGGUAGAGCACUGUUUCGGCAAGGGGGUCAUCCCGACUUACCAACCCGAUGCAAACUGCGAAUACCGGAGAAUGUUAUCACGGGAGACACACGGCGGGUGCUAACGUCCGUCGUGAAGAGGGAAACAACCCAGACCGCCAGCUAAGGUCCCAAAGUCAUGGUUAAGUGGGAAACGAUGUGGGAAGGCCCAGACAGCCAGGAUGUUGGCUUAGAAGCAGCCAUCAUUUAAAGAAAGCGUAAUAGCUCACUGGUCGAGUCGGCCUGCGCGGAAGAUGUAACGGGGCUAAACCAUGCACCGAAGCUGCGGCAGCGACACUAUGUGUUGUUGGGUAGGGGAGCGUUCUGUAAGCCUGUGAAGGUGUGCUGUGAGGCAUGCUGGAGGUAUCAGAAGUGCGAAUGCUGACAUAAGUAACGAUAAAGCGGGUGAAAAGCCCGCUCGCCGGAAGACCAAGGGUUCCUGUCCAACGUUAAUCGGGGCAGGGUGAGUCGACCCCUAAGGCGAGGCCGAAAGGCGUAGUCGAUGGGAAACAGGUUAAUAUUCCUGUACUUGGUGUUACUGCGAAGGGGGGACGGAGAAGGCUAUGUUGGCCGGGCGACGGUUGUCCCGGUUUAAGCGUGUAGGCUGGUUUUCCAGGCAAAUCCGGAAAAUCAAGGCUGAGGCGUGAUGACGAGGCACUACGGUGCUGAAGCAACAAAUGCCCUGCUUCCAGGAAAAGCCUCUAAGCAUCAGGUAACAUUAAAUCGUACCCCAAACCGACACAGGUGGUCAGGUAGAGAAUACCAAGGCGCUUGAGAGAACUCGGGUGAAGGAACUAGGCAAAAUGGUGCCGUAACUUCGGGAGAAGGCACGCUGAUAUGUAGGUGAAGUCCCUCGCGGAUGGAGCUGAAAUCAGUCGAAGAUACCAGCUGGCUGCAACUGUUUAUUAAAAACACAGCACUGUGCAAACACGAAAGUGGACGUAUACGGUGUGACGCCUGCCCGGUGCCGGAAGGUUAAUUGAUGGGGUUAGCGGUAACGCGAAGCUCUUGAUCGAAGCCCCGGUAAACGGCGGCCGUAACUAUAACGGUCCUAAGGUAGCGAAAUUCCUUGUCGGGUAAGUUCCGACCUGCACGAAUGGCGUAAUGAUGGCCAGGCUGUCUCCACCCGAGACUCAGUGAAAUUGAACUCGCUGUGAAGAUGCAGUGUACCCGCGGCAAGACGGAAAGACCCCGUGAACCUUUACUAUAGCUUGACACUGAACAUUGAGCCUUGAUGUGUAGGAUAGGUGGGAGGCUUUGAAGUGUGGACGCCAGUCUGCAUGGAGCCGACCUUGAAAUACCACCCUUUAAUGUUUGAUGUUCUAACGUUGACCCGU
rnacentral:rRNA from 1 species